CUGAUAGUUAGAACUUUUGUGAAGGCAAUGAAAACAUGAAUAUUACAUGGAGUUAUUGUGGUGAUGUAGCUUGGAUUCACAUGGAUGAGUCUUCCUAGUCCUGUUAAUUAUACGCAUGUUAAAAGCAAUCAAAGUACUAGAGGAUGAGUAAGUUUGAAUUGGGCUAAAACAUUUGCUGAGGAUGGAUGUGAUUUUAUUGAUUUGAUGGUCAGGUACAACUACAAGAUUU
rnacentral:lncRNA from 1 species